AUUGAACGCUGGCGGCAGGCUUAACACAUGCAAGUCGAGCGGGGAAGGUUGCUUCGGUAACUAACCUAGCGGCGGACGGGUGAGUAAUGCUUAGGAAUCUGCCUAUUAGUGGGGGACAACACUCCGAAAGGGAUGCUAAUACCGCAUACGUCCUACGGGAGAAAGCAGGGGAUCAUUUGACCUUGCGCUCAUAGAUGAGCCUAAGUCGGAUCAGCUAGUUGGUGGGGUAAAGGCCUACCAAGGCGACGAUCUGUAGCGGGUCGGAGAGGAUGAUCCGCCACACUGGGACUGAGACACGGCCCAGACUCCUACGGGAGGCAGCAGUGGGGAAUAUUGGACAAUGGGGGGAACCCUGAUCCAGCCAUGCCGCGUGUGUGAAGAAGGCCUUUUGGUUGUAAAGCACUUUAAGCGAGGAGGAGGCUUACCUGGUUAAUACCUGGGAUAAGUGGACGUUACUCGCAGAAUAAGCACCGGCUAACUCUGUGCCAGCAGCCGCAGUAA
rnacentral:rRNA from 1 species